GAGCGCGCCCUUCGGGGUGAGCGGCGGACGGGUUAGUAACGCGUGGGAACGUGCCCUUCUCUAAGGAAUAGCCUCUGGAAACGGAGAGUAAUACCUUAUACGCCCUUCGGGGGAAAGAUUUAUCGGAGAGGGAUCGGCCCGCGUUAGAUUAGGUAGUUGGUGGGGUAACGGCCUACCAAGCCUACGAUCUAUAGCUGGUUUUAGAGGAUGAUCAGCAACACUGGGACUGAGACACGGCCCAGACUCCUACGGGAGGCAGCAGUGGGGAAUCUUGGACAAUGGGGGCAACCCUGAUCCAGCCAUGCCGCGUGAGUGAUGAAGGCCUUAGGGUCGUAAAGCUCUUUCGCCUGUGAUGAUAAUGACAGUAGCAGGUAAAGAAACCCCGGCUAACUCCGUGCCAGCAGCCGCGGUAAUACGGAGGGGGUUAGCGUUGUUCGGAAUUACUGGGCGUAAAGCGCGCGUAGGCGGGCUAUUAAGUCAGGGGUGGAAUCCCGGGGCUCAACCCCGGAACUGCCCUUGAUACUGGUAGUCUAGAGUUCGAGAGAGGUGAGUGGAAUUCCGAGUGUAGAGGUGAAAUUCGUAGAUAUUCGGAGGAACACCAGUGGCGAAGGCGGCUCACUGGCUCG
rnacentral:rRNA from 1 species